rnacentral:rRNA from 1 species
CACGUAGGGACCAAGCGUUGUUCGGAUUUACUGGGCGUAAAGGGCGCGUAGGCGGUUUGUCAAGUCAGUUGUGAAAUCUCCGAGCUUAACUCGGAACGGUCAACUGAUACUGUCAAACUAGAGUACAGAAGGGGCAAUCGGAAUUCUUGGUGUAGCGGUGAAAUGCGUAGAUAUCAAGAGGAACACCUGAGGUGAAGACGGGUUGCUGGGCUGAUACUGACGCUGAGGCGCGAAAGCUAGGGUAGCAAACGGG